rnacentral:rRNA from 1 species
UACGUAGGGGGCAAGCGUUGUCCGGAAUCCUUGGGCGUAAAGCGCGUGUAGGCGGCUUUGCAAGUCGGGUGUGAAAGCCCUCAGCUCAACUGAGGAAGUGCGCCCGAAACUGCAGAGCUUGAGUACCGGAGAGGAUGGCGGAAUUCCCCAAGUAGAGGUGAAAUUCGUAGAUAUGGGGAGGAACACCGGUGGCGAAGGCGGCCAUCUGGACGGAUACUGACGCUGAGGAGCGAAAGCCAGGGGAGCAAACGGG